UACGUAGGGGGCGAGCGUUGUCCGGAUUUAUUGGGCGUAAAGAGCUCGUAGGCGGUUUGUCGCGUCUGCCGUGAAAGUCCGGGGCUCAACUCCGGAUCUGCGGUGGGUACGGGCAGACUAGAGUGAUGUAGGGGAGACUGGAAUUCUGGUGUAGCGGUGAAAUGCGCAGAUAUCAGAGGAACACCGAUGGCGAAGGCAGGUCUCUGGGCAUUAACUGACGCUGAGGAGCGAAAGCAUGGGGAGCGAACGG
rnacentral:rRNA from 1 species